AUUGCUUCUCGGCCUUUUGGCUUAGAUCAAGUGUAGUAUCUGUUCUUACAGGUUUAAUAAAAUGUUGCAACUAUUUUUUCUCUACAUUUUGUUUAUUGAGACACACUAAUUAAAAGGCACAGAGGGCAUGUUUACAUGGACAUUAUAACAAAACAUAUACAUUAAAAGUGUAGGAAUGUGUUGCCUUCC